rnacentral:rRNA from 1 species
CCUACGGGCGGCAGCAGUGGGGGAUAUUGCACAAUGGGGGGAACCCUGAUGCAGCGACGCCGCGUGGGUGAAGAAGCGCCUCGGCGCGUAAAGCCCUGUCAGCAGGGAAGAAAAUGACGGUACCUGAAGAAGAAGCCCCGGCUAACUACGUGCCAGCAGCCGCGGGAAUCCGUAGGGGGCAAGCGUUAUCCGGAUUUACUGGGUGUAAAGGGGGCGCAGACGGGGAUGCAAGCCAGGAGUGAAAGCCCGGGGCCCAACCCCGGGACUGCUCUUGGAACUGCGUGGCUAGAGUGCAGGAGGGGCAGGCGGAAUUCCUGGUGUAGCGGUGAAAUGCGUAGAUAUCAGGAGGAACACCGGUGGCGAAGGCGGCCUGCUGGACUGCAACUGACGUUGAGGCCCGAAAGCGUGGGGAGCAAACAGGAUUAGAUACCCGUGUAGUC